CCUCACCCCAGAACCCCCGCUCCAGCAGCUGCACAGACCCUGAGCCACGUGAUUCUCGCCUCCUCCUCUGCUACCACCCCAGGCCCCCUUACUGCCCCCUCUUUCUGUGCAGGUCUCCCAACUGGUCUGCCUUGGCUCUCACCCCAUAGUGGCUUGUCUGUAGAAAAGCAGGUUUCUCCCAAAGGCACUUUGUGCUUGCGGCUCCCUCCCGCCCCUCAUCCUGAGGCCCUCCCCUCCUAAAGGCCUUUGAUCACUUCACCUCACGGUGGCCCGCAUCUGCCCUACAAGUCCAACUGACCCCCUCAUCUCACUUUCUCUGCCGGCACCGGGGCCGGCGCCGUGUGUGGAUUCCUUGUGCCUCCCAGUCUUCUCCCACUGGAAGCUUCAUAAUAUGCCCCUUGCUCCAAAAUGACCCACCCUGUAUCAGUCCUCGACGGAAUCCGUUCUUUUCAGAAGUUGAAUUCUACCAGAAGGUACAGGAAAGCAAUCUGAUUAAGCUGAUUCAUACUAACAGAACUCCCAGUGUGCUGCCCUCAGUGGAACUUCACCUAUGUCUCCGAGGUGUGCAGGGCACCUUUCCGGGAGGAUGGAGCCUGUUGUUCUGGAGGAUGGCUUUCUGUUGACACUUGCAGCUGUCCCCACUCACCAUUGCAUCCCUGUGAGAUGCAGGGACAGCACAGGGGACUCCACUCUUCAGAACUGAAGAGGGCACCUUCCAAUGAUAAGAAUCCGCCUUGGCCUCUGGCAGAUGUGCUCUGGAUGUGAUUGAUUGAUACACUGGUGUCCUUCCGGGAUAGUGUCCCAUCUUGACCAGAUACAUGCCCAUCCUUUGGAACCGAGGGCCAGACCGGCCUGGCUGGCUGAGAUAGAGAAGGAAAGGACUCAAGGUCUGUCUGAGCCCCCUCUCCCUGCUAAUCACAAGCUGUCUGGGAGCACAGUUGGAAAAUCAGGCAAGUCAGAAGGGGUCGAACCUCAUCUGCAGCAGACUGGAUCAGGAAGGAGGAAGAAGGAGAAACUUGGAAGUCACCAGGCUGCUUCUCACCAGCCCUGUGUCCUCACCCUUGACGACUCAGGUGUCAUUGCUUUGACAAAUGGACUGUGAGCUCAGUCCCUGUGUGUGAGCGGGUGUAGAAAGCUUCUCCCUUCCAGAUGCAGCAGCUCAGUACUUGCCUUGUGCACAGGCACGGCUUUCUUCUUGGAGAAGGAAAAAAGGCCAUCCUCACAGUGAAACUUGCUUCAUUCGUCUCAGGAGUAAUGGUGAGCCUCUCUCUGAAAGCCACUUAAUUAUGUGGCGAGGGUCCUGCUGUGGUGAGUGCUGCAGAGGCCGUCCAGCCAGGCACGCUCCCCUUGUAAGUGGUAAAAUAUACAGUACGAUUAAGUAGCAUGAGAAACCUGAGUGUUGUUUCUGAAGACAUCAGUCCGUGUUUGGACUGUUUUGAUUUACUGUUAAUUUGGGGAGGCUGGCUUCUCCUUGAAAAGCAUGGAAUGUGCACUUUUAAAAUAAUUGCAAUCAAAUCUCGCCCUGAUAGGGGCUUUCUGGUUCCCUGGACACUGGGCAGCAGUACUCUGGGGGUGGGAUAUAUUCAUUCUGCAAAACAUUUUCCCGAGUGUUCUUUCAGCCGAUUCCCCCACACUCUUGUCAGGAGCAGGGUUGCAUUGCUUCCCACCGCCAGAUUCCUUCUUCAUCUUUAAAGACUUCCUGGGGUCUGAAGAAGGGAGCUGGGGGCCUGGCGGUGCCUAAUCUAGGCACCUAAUCUAGGUUGUGGAGCCUGCCCUCCUAGUGCCGUUCUUGUAGGAUUUCCUUUAGUUGGAGUGAACAGGGAGGUGGGAGCACAUCUGUGUUCUAUGAAAACUGACCCAGCACUCCUCAUGCAGCAGGGUCUGCCUUAACUUCCCUCUUGCGGUUGGAAUUGAUAAAAUGGGUUAUUGAGUCAUCCUCUUGAUGGGGCCCACAGCGUCGGAACCUGUCCAGGGGCCAAGAGGUGAACUGAGGCAGGAUGCAUGCUUUACUCCAUCUGAUUAUGUAAACCAGGCACUAGGCAAAUCCAGGAGAUGUCAGUAUGAGGGGCGGCAGGUUUUCGGCUGAAUCGUUUGGGGGAGUAAAGUGAGAACCCGUAUUUUAAAAAAGUUAAUGCUAGGAGAGGAGACAGAGGAAGCAAAGAAUUUUUACUUUUUCAUUUUGCCUUACAAGGUAAUUUGAAAAUAAAAAUUACCCUUUGAAAUGUUGCCAGCAGUGACUGAGUGAAAACCAGUGAGGGUUCAGAAGUUCGAGUCCUACUCUGGUUUCAAAUAAGGUACUUAAUGGGCCUUUCCCAUCAUUGAGCACAAAUACAUAUCCCUAACAUUUCUCCAAAAUUUGAUUUUGUUCUCCAUUUCAAGGAAAAAGUGUUGUGAACGGGCUGAGCCUGGUUUCCCUGGCCAUGACAAAUUCUCAUGAAACCAGCAUACAGGAACUGGAUUUUCACA